CGCCUCUUGUACACUCAAUAAGAGGUCCAGCCUGCCCAGUGACCCUGUUCAACGGCCGCGGUAUCCUAACCGUGCGAAGGUAGCGUAAUCACUUGUUCUUUAAAUGAGGACUAGUAUGAAUGGCAUCACGAAGGUUAUACUGUCUCCUCUCUCUAAUCAGUGAAACUAAUCUCCCCGUGAAGAAGCGGGGAUGAUCAUAUAAGACGAGAAGACCCUAUGGAGCUUUAAACUAAGAAGCAAUUGCCCUCAUACCUUUGAAAUUCCAGAAAACUAAUGAGUACAAGGCACUGUGACUUCCAGUUUUAGGUUGGGGUGACCACGGAGUAAAAACUAACCUCCGCACUGAAUAGGGGCCUUCCCUAAACUAAGGGCCACAACCCUAAGAAUCAAUACAUUGACAGCAAUUGACCCAAAAAUUUGAUCAAUGAACCAAGUUACCCUAGGGAUAACAGCGCAAUCCACUUCAAGAGCUCCUAUCGACAAGUGGGUUUACGACCUCGAUGUUGGAUCAGGGUACCCCAGUGGUGCAGCCGCUACUAACGGUUCGUUUGUUCAACGAUUAAAACCCUACGUGAUCUGAGU
rnacentral:rRNA from 1 species